rnacentral:lncRNA from 1 species
UAAUUUUUGUAUUUUUAGUAGAGACGGGGUUUCACCAUGUUGGCCAGUCUGGCCUUGAACUCCUGACAGGCGAUCUGCCUGCCUCGGCCUCCCAAAGUGCUGGGAUUACAGGUGUGAGCCACCACGCCCGGCCAUCGUUCCAUUUUAAUUAACUUUAAUACGAGCAGCCACAUGUGGCCUCUGGUUCCUGCCACGGACUCGGGAGCAACCCCUCCUGGUCGCGGCUUAUGCGCCUUCUCUGUGUGCUGCUGGGGUUAGUUUGCAUGUAACCUCUUGAGGACCCCACGUGUGCAUUCCUAAGGGGUGCGGCCUCCCGUUUCCGUAUGAAUGGGAAGAGUUCCCACCUGCUGUAUUCUUGGAAAGAGUCUGUGAAGGAUUGGUGUUAAUUCUUCCUUAACUGCUUAGAAAAAUUCUAUCGUGAAGGCUCUGAGCCCAAGCUUUUCUUUGUGGGAUUUUUUUUUUCUUUUUUUUGGAG